rnacentral:lncRNA from 1 species
GUGGAAUAGAUAUUAUCUUCAAAGACAAAACGCUCAACAAAACAAUUAUUUAGCUGAAGGGACUGUUUGGACCUGGCCAAAUAUGGAUCAACUUUCAAUAACAAUGAGGGAGAGGGUGAGAUUUUCUGAGCUCCAAAAUGUGUGAUAAAGUCAUGGAAGAGAAAUGAUGAAGCAGGAAGAACACCAGCAAGUUAGGGCCAGACAACACACCAGCAGCAUAGGGCUAAAGCCAGCAGGUUAUAGGUUGCAGCAAACCAGCAACGUAUCGCCACCAGAUGCUGGAUUGUUCUACUUCAGUUAGUUAACACAGCUGCCCACACAAUCUAAAAUUUCUAUGAAAUUGCAGUGAUGUAUGCUAAUUGCUAAAAAAAUUCUCAACUAGUUUAGUCAAGGGAGAGGUAAACAGAGGUGCAACUGCAGGGGUUUGAAGAUAGCAGAUAAGCUGAAGUAAUUUCAGCAAGACUGCAGAGGAAACAGACAACAGUAGCAGCAGCGAGCACUGUUCAGAACUAUGCAGUUUCUAUGGAUAUUUUGUCAGGAUCAGUGUAAGCAUAGGUGAAAAUAUCGUGCGUGCCGGGCGGAUAUUCGCGAUAUUUUCCGUUUUUUCAGAGAUCGGCACGGUACGGAUCACGGCAUAUAUUCGGAUAUUAAAACACCCCAGGCCGGUCGGCAUUUAUCGGAUAUUCGCGGCAUAAAUCGGUAAAAACCGAUAUUUAUCGAAAUUUUGGAAAUUUUCGAUUUAAAAAUUAACAUAUUUAUUUUUAAUCCCCCCGAACUAGAAUUUUCGAUGAGAUUAUCAAAAAAAGGUCCAAAAGGCACUAGACGUUUGGAAACUUUCGCGACGAACUUGAUGGCCCUCCAAGAGCAAUAUAUCAGAAAGAAACGAAAAAAAAGCACGUCCAUGCCAAAUUGAAGUUCUCUCUCACUUUUGGCAAACCAGUAUACUGUUUGUAUCCAAGGUUUGUUUUUGUGUAAUGAAUAAUUGGUAUCGAAUUGGUUUACCCUCAUUUUUCUUAUGGUAACAUAGGAACCUCCCAAAGUGAUGAUUCCAGUGUACCAUCCUACCAAACCCAACCAGAUGACAGUGGUUCUUGGUUUCCUAAUAUAGGGAGUUGGUUGGCCCCAAUGACAAGUGCGUCCGACGUGCAGUCAGCCGAUACAUUAAUGCCGGUUCAACAAUACUCGAGAUUUCCUAUCUUUGAAUCAUUUGCUCCGUAUUGUAUGGAUCAAGAUGCAUAUGAUAUGCAUAUUGACCAAUUCAGGUCGUACGAGCAAACAAUGUCAUGGGAAUAUUACUGUACUGAGUUCGUCCCCACACGUAUGCGACUCGAAGCUCAUCGGUUUGACAAGGGGCGUCUAUCAUUCUGGGGUUAGCAUGUCUUUUAUUUUGAUUAUUAAAAUAAAACUAUGGGUUGAGUUGUAAUGAGGUUGUUUGUGUUUAGUUCUUGUAUUGUAAACAUAUAAAAUUUCUAUGAAUAUCCGCCCGAUAUUUACGAUUUUUUCACCUAUGAGUAAAACUAUCUUGUGUAAUAGUUCCGUCUUAACUUCCUUGUAUGAUUUGUCGUGUGUUUAAUUUGUAAUGUAUGUUUUUCUUUUAAUUAUAAGUUUAUAUAUCGAAAUCCGCGAAAAAACACGUAAAGUGCAGAAAACCUCCCAAUUUGCCGAAUUUUUCGCGAAUAUUCGCGAAUAUCCGCGGCAUAAACCGAUUUUUUCGAAUUUGCCAAACCAAUACAAUCCGACACAUGAGGUCGGAUAUCCGCGAUAUUUUCCGGUUUUUGGGGGAUCGGAUAUCCGCCCCUAAACGAUAUUUUCACCUAUGAGUGUAAGCACUCAUCCUCUUUCUUACAGUUAAUUUUUUUUGAUAGAAUGCAGGGAUCACACUGUACAAGGAUGUACUACUGGAGGUAUAUCUCCAGAGGUAGUAAUCUGCUGACAGUAGCAUAUAUACUGGUCAGAAUCUGUAAUUGUUCCAGAGUUUUGAAUAUUAAUUUUACGUUCCAAGGAAAUGGACACUGAUUCAAGAAUUGCAAGAUAGUUGGAGGUGAUGAGGAGCUCAUUCCAUUCGCUAUUAAUUAGGAGGAUAGAUAUGUGUCAACUGGAAGGUAUAUGUCCACUACUAUUAUACGAAAUUGCAGUUCUGGACAGGUGGGCUGCCAAUAUUGCUCUCUGUAUGAUUUCCUCUCAUAUACAGAUUUUUACACUUUGAAAAAUGGCCUAUUACAGGAUCAGGUAGCCAAGAUUGAAGACUAAACCUCAUGGAACAUGCAUGAGAGGAGACCAACUUUGCAAUGGGAGCAAGAACAAUGGGACCAGCUGUUGACUUUGCUCAGACAACAGAGAUUAAGCAAUGAGCCUGACAACUGGAUAUGGUGCCCUACAAGUAAGGAGUCUUUCACAGUCAAAAGUUUUUAUGAUAAACUUGAAGAAGAAAGGAGAGCCCUCAAUGCUGCUACACUGCCUGGUUUCCCUUACAACUUGGUAGGGUCUACUGAUAUCCCUUGUAAGAUCAAUUUUUUUUUUCUGGUGCUCUGUACAAGGUAGAAUCCAAACCACGGAUCACCUUGUCAGAAGAGGAAUGGACCUGCCUGACGUAUGCAUUGUCUCUAAGCAGUACCCUGAAACUGCUACACACUUCACUGGUUGUAAGGGUACUGGAGAAAUGGCCAAGGCAUAGGAGAAAAGGGAUCGGAGCAAACUUACUAAGUCUCUUACCUUAUGCAAUUAUGUGGAAUGUAUGGCUCACAAGGAAUGAUUACAUCUUCAAAGUGAAGCCGCCUAAUCUCGACAAACUCUGAAGCAGAAUUAAGCUUCUCUGUAGUUCUGGAUUGGAGGUAGAGCUCUGAACAAAUAUUAUACCUAUGCAUGCAGAUCUGACCAACAACUGGGAGUUAAUGCUGCUGCUGUAAUUGUCGAUUGUAAUUUGCUUUGGUUAUGUACACACUCAAGAGUUGUGAACUAUAAUACUAUAUGCAGUGAAUCUCUCUCUCACUGUCAUCUUGUUACCAUCAAUUAAAAGCGCCAAUUUAUCUAAAAAAGAAACCCUCAGACAUAGCAAUUUCAAUUCACUACAGUAAUUAUAAGUUGACAUUACUCAC